UGGCAGAAAAGCAUCCGGUCCGGACAUGCCAGUAAGUCAUUCUGGCUUUGUCAUAAGGUCCGGCAAUGAGUGGUUCUAGUCUAUACAGCAAGUAGGCGAUGUCAUUUUAUUUCAUAACCGACACUUGGACGUCGAUUAGGAAAAACUAUUUCCUAAGAUAAAUUAAAAACAAGCUUAUCCAGUAAUCACGCCAGGACAAUACCAGCGCAAGACAACACGAGGAACAUUUACGGAACAUGCCAUUAAGAUGGCAGUUGCAGCCCAUUUUGAAGGAAAGUAGCUCCAUAAAGCUGCAUCCGAUUGUUGGUUUAAUUAUAAGACCAUUCAACGCUAUUUAAAGCUGCACAAAACAGACGGCAACAUUGAGAAGGAAACUAUUGGCAACAGUACGCAGAAGAAGUGCAUCUUCUCAGAUGAGCAAGAACAAGUUUAGCUGGACUACAUCAUUAAAGCCUCUUCAAUCUACUAUGGCCUAACUCUGAGAGAAUUACGCAAACAGGCCUUCGAAGUUGCUGUCGCCAACAAAAUUUCCAUGCCAGAAUCCUGGUCCUCUGCGAAAACUGACAAGCUAUCUCUGCGAAGUCCGGAGGCAACAUCACUCAAUCGCGCACAGGCAUUCAACAAAACAGACGUAAACUUAUUCUUCGAUAAUAUUGAGAAAGUGAUGGGGAAACAUAAGUUUCGGCCAGAAUACAUUUGGAACAUUGAUGAAACUGGGUGUUCCACUGCACAAACGCCUCAGCGACAACUAGCAAAGAAGGGUGAAAAACGUGUAGGCUCCAUCGUGUCACACGAGAAAGGGAGCACCGUCACACUAUAUGGAGCUGUAAAAGCCAUCGGAAAUAGUAUGCCACCAUUCCUGAUCUUCCCCAGAGUCAAUGUUCAUUAUCACCAAAAAAAGACAUCAUUACUUUGCUGACAAAGUCUGACAUUUCUUGGACAAAACGCACCAAGAGUGGCUUGUGUUAAUUGAAGUCAUCGUGAAAUAUGCAGCCUAAAUAUUCUUUAACUGUUAACUGAAAGACAGCCUUACUUUUUUUUUUCAAUUUUAGUACAGUCCUGUAUUGAUAUCUUUGGCCACUGUCCUCUUUAUGGCCCUGUGUUCUGUCUGCGGCUCUUCCCGUGUCCACAAUAAAAAAAAAUCUUUUACUGUUUCAAUUCAAUCUUAUGUAAAUUUUGUAAUAAUUACAAAUCUGGUUUGUUAGGGGAACUUUUUUCUAUAGCAAAAGAAAAUGUUUUUUAGAAUCAAAUAGAUUCAACAAUAUAACAUUUGAAAAUGUGUGACUUUUCACCCCAAGCAUGUGACUUUUUGACCCCGCACUUGGGUCAAAUUGCACAAUUCUAAAUCACAAUUUUGCAAGUCUGUCAUACAGUGAACAGCUAUUCCAAACGGCUCUGCAUACAGUUAUCUGAAAUGUGGAACUAGUAGCCUAUCUAGUACAUUGGCAUUGUUAAAUAUUCACAAUACUUGUCUCCAGAUCCUAAAAAGUGAGAUUUGUGACUUUUCACCCCCUCCUCCCCCUACAUAUUCGUACGAACACUUUGUAUUUGCUCGACAAUGACGUUAUGUUCAUUUGAAAGACUGAUACACUAGGGGGACGGUAGAGCGGGUAAUCCAUAACUGCAGACCCGAUGAUAGAAAAUCGCGGGAACAUGUUGAAAUUGUUCUAGAUGAUAAAAUCCAUAUUCGGAUUUAAAAAAUCAGUGGAAUUGAUCGUAAAAGAGAAGCGGUAAGUAAGUUUUUGUGUUUCGUCAAUGUCUGAUGUAAUGUUUAGCUGUCUUUCUAACUGUGCAGUACUGAAGACGAUAUGCGUGUCAUGUUUAAACGUUCUAUGGUGUUGACAAAAUCUUUAUACUUCAUUAAGUUUUGUAUUGUAAAUUUUGAUAAUUACAAACGUGAAUCAAAAAUCAUUUUGUAGUUGAAGUCCGACCGGCUGCUCCUUCGUCUUCUUCGUUCUUAAUUUUAAUGUUGGAAGGGAUCCCCCUCCAGCACAAUUAAGUAUACGUGUCAACUGGCUAUGCGCCAUUGAGGCCAUUGACUCCGAUUUCAGCCUGCUUUUCUUUUUAGAUUUGCUUCUUUAACCAGGAACAAACUACAAGGCAGUAGUUGUUUGAUUUUGGAGUUGUCUCUCCUAGAAGAGUGGCUGUCACCAGCUUGCAAGCCUCAUCUGUUCGAACACGAGACUUUUCGGCUUAAUAGCCCUGAACUUUACCGACUCGACCACGCCGACCCCUUAAAGUCAGAUAAAGAGUACCGUGGCAUGGCGGGUAAGAAAUUCUAGUAGUACAACCAACCCGUCACCGCCAACCAUUUUCGAGAAUGUUAUUUUUUUCUUCGUUUGUAUUUAACACAGUAAAGCUUUAUUAAUUUUAUAGACAUACAUUUUUCUAUAUCAUCAAAAUGUUUUUGGAAGAAAUGGAGGUAUCAAAAAGCACCUUAAACUUUUUUCCUAAGGGGGUACUACUACCCACUUCUACACUACUAUAAUCGUUUACUAAAUAGAAUAAGGCGCGUCUUCCGUGCCCCGUUGGUCGGGCGAGCCCUUGUGAGCACUAUGGUGCUUACAUUAGUUCUAAAGAGCACCAUACAAUAGGAGAAAGGUAGCACAAGACAUUCUAUAACUAAACCGAAUCAUAGGCCGUGCCUGACGCCCCUGCAGUAAUGUAAAAUGUGGCUCCUGUGAGCGCCUGGUGACGCCCAUGAAACCUGGCCAGCAGUUAUUUUAUAAAACAGAAAUAAAGUGCUACUUUCGGAUAUCGGAGAAUACUGAAAAAUUUAAGUAAUCUAAGUGAUCUUUUAACCAAAUGUGAGAUUUUGUCUUUCUUACUGAAACAUUAUUUAAGUUGUCGUGUUUACGUAUGUGAGCGGGUGAAUGGAUGAUUUAUUUUGUAUUAUUUUAUUGUGUGCGAAUCUGUGCGUGAAUGGUCCAUUGGACAGCGGCUACGGGGUUU